rnacentral:sRNA from 2 species
UGAGUUUUCGGCUAGGGUUCCGGCGUUCAACACGUGUCUGGUCCGAGAGCCGAAGCUGGCGGGACAGAAAAAUCCGUCAGAUGCACGGCGGGACAAAAGCCCGGGAGAC